GGCUGGUCUGAUGGUAGUGGGUUUUCAGAACUCAUUAACAUAAGUAUCACUAAAGUUGGCAUACAACCCCCAUUGCUAAAUUUGACUAGCUUAAA
rnacentral:Y_RNA from 1 species